rnacentral:rRNA from 1 species
UACGUAGGGGGCAAGCGUUGUCCGGAUUUAUUGGGCGUAAAGAGCGUGUAGGCGGCUUUACAGGUCCGUUGUGAAAACUCGAGGCUCAACCUCGAGACGCCGGUGGAAACCGUAAAGCUAGAGUCCGGAGGAGGAGAGUGGAAUUCCUGGUGUAGCGGUGAAAUGCGCAGAUAUCAGGAAGAACACCCGUGGCGAAGGCGGCUCUCUGGGACGGUACUGACGCUGAGACGCGAAAGCGUGGGGAGCGAACAGG